UACGUAGGGUGCAAGCGUUGUCCGGAAUUAUUGGGCGUAAAGAGCUCGUAGGCGGUCUGUUGCGUCGGCUGUGAAAACCCGGGGCUCAACCCCGGGCCUGCAGCCGAUACGGGCAGACUAGAGUUCGGCAGGGGAGACUGGAAUUCCUGGUGUAGCGGUGAAAUGCGCAGAUAUCAGGAGGAACACCGGUGGCGAAGGCGGGGUCUCUGGGCCGAUACUGACGCUGAGGAGCGAAAGCGUGGGGGAGCAAACAGG
rnacentral:rRNA from 1 species